rnacentral:rRNA from 1 species
CUCGUGACGAUAGCGGUGAGGCCACACCUGUUCCCAUACCGAACACAGAAGUUAAGCUCACUUGCGCCGAAGGUACUUGUCUGGAAACGGGCCGGGAGAAUAGGGAGCCGCGGGGU